GAUGAACGCUGGCGGCGUGCCUAAUACAUGCAAGUCGAGCGAACAGACGAGGAGCUUGCUCCUCUGACGUUAGCGGCGGACGGUUGAGUAACACGUGGAUAACCUACCUAUAAGACUGGGAUAACUUCGGGAAACCGGAGCUAAUACCGGAUAAUAUAUUGAACCGCAUGGUUCAAUAGUGAAAGACGGUUUUGCUGUCACUUAUAGAUGGAUCCUCGCCGCAUUAGCUAGUUGGUAAGGUAACGGCUUACCAAGGCAACGAUGCGUAACCGACCUGAGAGGGUGAUCGGCCACACUGGAACUGAGACACGGUCCAGACUCCUACGGGAGGCAGCAGUAGGGAAUCUUCCGCAAUGGGCGAAAGCCUGACGGAGCAACGCCGCGUGAGUGAUGAAGGUCUUCGGAUCGUAAAACUCUGUUAUUAGGGAAGAACAAAUGUGUAAGUAACUAUGCACGUCUUGACGGUACCUAAUCAGAAAGCCACGGCUAACUACGUG
rnacentral:rRNA from 1 species